ACCCGUUUAGCUCAAUGGCUGAGCGUUGGCUUUGCGAGCCACAUGUCAGUGGUUCGAACCCACCAGGGCA
rfam:Phytophthora infestans T30-4 supercont1.1 genomic scaffold, whole genome shotgun sequence.